rnacentral:rRNA from 1 species
AGUGAACGCUGGCGGUAGGCCUAACACAUGCAAGUCGAACGGCAGCACAGUAAGAGCUUGCUCUUACGGGUGGCGAGUGGCGGACGGGUGAGGAAUACAUCGGAAUCUACUUUUUCGUGGGGGAUAACGUAGGGAAACUUACGCUAAUACCGCAUACGACCUACGGGUGAAAGCAGGGGAUCUUCGGACCUUGCGCGAUUGAAUGAGCCGAUGUCGGAUUAGCUAGUUGGCGGGGUAAAGGCCCACCAAGGCGACGAUCCGUAGCUGGUCUGAGAGGAUGAUCAGCCACACUGGAACUGAGACACGGUCCAGACUCCUACGGGAGGCAGCAGUGGGGAAUAUUGGACAAUGGGCGCAAGCCUGAUCCAGCCAUACCGCGUGGGUGAAGAGGGCCUUCGGGUUGUAAAGCCCUUUUGUUGGGAAAGAAAAGCAGCAGGUUAAGACCCCGCUGUUCUGACGGUACCCAAAGAAUAAGCACCGGCUAACUUCGU